rnacentral:rRNA from 1 species
GACGAACGCUGGCGGCGUGCUUAACACAUGCAAGUCGAACGGAAAGGCCUGCUUUCCCUUGUGGAUUGCGGGUACUCGAGUGGCGAACGGGUGAGUAACACGUGAGUGAUCUGCCCCCAACUUGGGUAUAAGCCUGGGAAACUGGGUCUAAUUCCCGAUAGGACUGCAGGGUGGUGCCUGUGGUGGAAAACGAUUUUCUAGUGGUUGGGGAUGAGCUCGCGGCCUAUCAGCUUGUUGGUGGGGUAAUGGCCUACCAAGGCGGCGACGGGUAGCCGGCCUGAGAGGGGGGACGGCAACAUUGGGACUGAGAUACGGCCCAGACUCCGACGGGAGGCAGCAGUGGGGAAGAUUGCACAAUGGGCGGAAGCCUGAUGCAGCGACGCCGCGUGGGGGAUGACGGCCUUCGGGUUGUAAACUCCUUUCGACCGCGAGGAAGCCACCUGGUUGGAAGGGUGGUGACGGUAGUGGUAGAAGAAGCACCGGCUAACUACGUG